GACGAACGCUGGCGGCGUGCCUAAUACAUGCCAGUAGAACGCACAGUUUAUACCGUAGCUUGCUACACCAUAGACUGUGAGUUGCGAACGGGUGAGUAACGCGUAGGUAACCUGCCUGGUAGCGGGGGAUAACUAUUGGAAACGAUAGCUAAUACCGCAUAAUAUUAAUUAUUGCAUGAUAAUUGAUUGAAAGAUGCAACUGCAUCACUACCAGAUGGACCUGCGUUGUAUUAGCUAGUAGGUGAGGUAACGGCUCACCUAGGCGACGAUACAUAGCCGAACUGAGAGGGUGAUAGGCCACACUGGGACUGAGACACGGCCCAGACGCCCACGGGAGGCAGCAGUAGGGAAUCUUCGGCAAUGGACGAAAGUCUGACCGAGCAACGCCGCGUGAGUGAAGAAGGGUUUCGGAUCGUAAAGCUCUGUUGUAAGAGAAGAACGGGUGUGAGAGUGGAAAGUUCACACUGUGACGGUAUCUUACCAGAAAGGGACGGCUAACUACGUG
rnacentral:rRNA from 1 species